UCGGGAAUUUUGGGCAAUGGGCGAAAGCCUGACCCAGCAACGCCGCGUGAAGGAUGAAGUAUUUCGGUAUGUAAACUUCGUAAGAAUAGGAAGAAUAAAUGACGGUACUAUUUGUAAGGUCCGGCUAACUACGUGCCAGCAGCCGCGGUAAUACGUAGGGACCAAGCGUUGUUCGGAUUUACUGGGCGUAAAGGGCGCGUAGGCGGCAAUUCAAGUCAUCUGUGAAAUCUCCGGGCUUAACUCGGAACGGUCAGAUGAUACUGCUUUGCUAGAGUGCAGAAGGGGCAAUCGGAAUUCUUGGUGUAGCGGUGAAAUGCGUAGAUAUCAAGAGGAACACCUGGGGUGAAGACGGGUUGCUGGGCUGACACUGACGCUGAGGCGCGAAAGCCAGGGGAGCAAACGGGAUUAGAUACCCCCGUAGUCCCUGAGCGGGCUGGCAAGGCGCAU
rnacentral:rRNA from 1 species